CAUGCUUCCACUUUCGGUGCACUCCUCAAAUCCAAUAAAAGAUGUAAUAUUUACAAAAUUAAACACAGGAGAAGAGAAGAAGAAAGUCUAGAUCAUGCCGCAUGGAAAGAUUUUGUGAAAAUUAAAAGAUUGAAUUAGGCAAGCUCAUAGUGGUGGGGUAGAAGAAAAAUUUAAGAGGAAAGGAGCCUUCGAUGAUGUCCAGGUGCAAUCUAUUUCCAACUUCUUUCCAAGCCAUAGCUUAAAGGAUUAUGCUACUUGUACAAAAAGUUUUACGGGAAGUUUUACAGAAAGAAUUAAAUUUUAUUUUUAAUUUUUUUAUACUUGGAUUAUGCCGCUUGAGCCGUCCGCCAUCGCCGCUUGCACCGCUCGCCGUCGCCCACACCACCGCCGCUCGCACCGCCGUCGAACAUCAGGGUUGUUUGAGUCGAAGCCCAUGAGCGUGGCUACAUGAAACAUGCCGGAGCAACCUUCAAUGGCCUCAUCGAAGCUCCCGUCUUCGCCCAAAUCCACCUUCCACAGCGUCAAGUUGGUGUCGGCAUUUGGCUACUCCAUCAUCGGCUUCACCUUCUUCAUGUUCCCUAACAUUAAACAAAAAAUCAUCAUAGAAUUGUUCUCCUUAUUCUAAUUCUUCUUCCCUUUGAUCCUGCUUGAAUUCUUCCCAUUAAUGGAUGGGAACUAAAACUGGUUUGUGUACCUGGGUCGCGAACGGUUGCGCGAACAGUAUGUCCGCGUUGAAGAAGCCUCAUGACGAGCCACGAGCCGAUGAACCUGGAAGCUCUGGUGACGCAUACGGUGGCCGACGGUGGAGAAACUUCCAUGGCUAAAGGCUAGAGCUAAAGUUUGAAGGUGGGAAUAUUCGGAACAAAGAUUGAUAGAAUUUGAGGCUAGAAAUGGGGACGGUAUUAGGUGACGUGAUGAUUUUUCUACUGUUCCUUGAGGUUGCAUUAUAUAAACCAACAAGGGGAAUGGUUCCGUUUAGAGUUGAAUUACCAUGUUUGUGCCCUGUGGGAUUUGGUCACUGGUCAUGAAAAAUUUGCAACAUCCGGAUAUACUUGAGGCCGAAUAAUGUAUUCAGCCUUGAAUAGGAGAUUACUUAGGAUUGACUCA